rnacentral:rRNA from 1 species
UACGUAGAGAGCAAGCGUUGUCCGGAAUCAUUGGGCGUAAAGCGCGUGUAGGCGGUCCGGUAAGUCCGCUGUGAAAGUCGGGGGCUCAACCCUCGAAUGCCGGUGGAUACUGUCGGGCUAGAGUGCGGAAGAGGCGAGUGGAAUUCCUGGUGGUAGCGGUGAAAUGCGCAGAUAUCAGGGAAGAACACCCGUGGCGGAAGGCGGCUCUCUGGGACGGUACUGGACGCUGAAGACGCGAAAGCGUGGGGAGCGAACAGG